rnacentral:tRNA from 1 species
GCUUCGAUGGCGCAGUGGUAGCGCAGUGGUCUCAUAAUCAUGAGGAGCUUGAUUUCCACAUCAUUCUUCGUCGUCAUGCUGUCAUGAUAUCCAAAGGUCGUGAGUUCGACCCUCACUUGGAGCA